rnacentral:ribozyme from 1 species
UGCCCAGCAACUCCUAUCCCUACCUCUUCGUGGUACCGGGUGGAAACUAUGAGCAUUCUUAGGGAAGAUCGGGUAACCAACCCUGGUGGGAACUUUGAAAAUAAGCUGACAGGGAAGG